UGGAUGAUGUGGUUUAAUUCGAUGCAACGCGAAAACCUUACCACUUUGACAUGUACGGAAUCCUUUAGAGAUAGAGGAGUGCUCGAAAGAGAGCCGUAACACAGGUGCUGCAUGGCUGUCGUCAGCUCGUGUCGUGAGAUGUUGGGUUAAGUCCCGCAACGAGCGCAACCCUUGUCAUUAGUUGCUACAUUCAGUUGGGCACUCUAAUGAGACUGCCGGUGACAAACCGGAGGAAGGUGGGGAUGACGUCAAGUCCUCAUGGCCCUUAUAGGUGGGGCUACACACGUCAUACAAUGGAUGGUACAAAGGGUCGCCAACCCGCGAGGGGGAGCCAAUCCCAUAAAGCCAUUCGUAGUCCGGAUCGCAGUCUGCAACUCGACUGCGUGAAGUCGGAAUCGCUAGUAAUCGUGGAUCAGAAUGUCACGGUGAAUACGUUCCCGGGUCUU
rnacentral:rRNA from 1 species